AUAAGUGAAUAUUGUCCAAGGUAAAGAAAAGGAAGAAACUGGACUCUUGACUGUUGGGCUGGUGAGCCUAACCAGGCCCAGCAUAAUUCGGCAGACUCCAUCAUGCGCAUAAGGAGCAGGCUGGAUUUGAAUUUGUGCCUGAGUUCCCAACGGAACUUAGGAGGCCCAAUGCAAAACAUGCACACAAAAAAUAAUAAAAAAGAUAAUUAGUGUAUAUCAAUCAUAAAACUAAUUAAAAUAAAGAUUAAGAAAAAUAAUAAUGAAGAACUAAAGAAUAUGGUGAGACGACUUUUAUUUAUGUUAACCCUAAGGGGACUAAUGAAAGACAGUGACUAAAGGCUUGGUAUGAAUCCUCAUUUAUGGAUAUGAUCCCCUUUGUGAGCCCUUGACACUUCAGAGUUCACGAGGGUAUCACAGACCCCGAGCAGUACUUGUGUCAAGGAGAGAGAUCAUAAACACAAUAAGUUUUCACAUCCAAAUACCCUUAACCACCCACUAUUAAUCUUCCUCAAAAGUUUAAACAGAAAUAAAGGAUCAACACAGUAAUUUCAUAUGGCCAAGACAUCAACAGUAGGUGUAAGAGUCGUGAUAAACCCUUUAAGGAUUCAAGCACACAAAGACUCCACAACUGUGAACAAAUAGGAUACUGUAAUUCAUUAUCAAAGCACAGAAGAAGUCAAGGGCAUAUUAUUGGCUUAAGAGGAUUCAUAUUAGAGUAUAAGAUAUACAGGCAUGCAUGGGAUCACUGUGGAUACUUAGUUAAACAAGAAAACAAAGUACAUACCAUAGACACAUUUCAUUGCUUAUAGAUUCUUGAUCAGAAGUGUUAUCAGCCAAGUAUUACAUAGAGGUGAACAGAAGUGUAUAUUUUACUAUCUUCAUUAUAGGUUGAAUGUUCCAGAAUUCUCCUAGGCAGAUUCAAGAUUAUAAGAACAAGCCACAAAUAUUUCUAAGGCUUCAGCAUAGCUAAGAGCAGGUAUACAUCUCACUAAGACCUCACCACCUUAACAGUUAGGCUAUAAAGUCACAAUAUACUAACACUUUGAUAUGCAAACAGGUUCACUAACAACAUUUUGUACAUGAGUCUGUGUGUGUGUAGGUUAUUACAACAUCAUGGAUUAGUUUAACAGUUAAAAUUAUUUAAACAAGGACAGAUAAUUAGGGUCAGUUUCUUAAUAGGAUCAGUCACUAAACUCAAAUUAUUUCAUUACCACAGAAAGAUUAGGACUACUAUAGGUGAACACAUAGAUGCAAGGAUAAACCUCUUCAAGCUACUGUCAUAAAAUGCUCUAUGGGCACAACAAUACUAAUACAACAGGUGUGAACUCAGGUGUAGAAACUAAGAAGAGUCAUGACAACAAAGAGUUUCAUGCAGCAGGGCUCAAACAAUUAGUAAAUGGCAUUCAUUCCAGAGGUUAAUCACAUUCAGAUAUGAGAACAUGCCUUCUAACAUACUGAUAGAGUUUAUUGUAUGAUCUCUUUUGUUUCCAACUAUCAUAAGAAGCACACAAAAAUUAUUCUGUUAAAAUAGUAUGAACAUGGCACUGGCUAGAGUCCAGAUAAAAAUCAUCAAUGACGCAAUCAUGUUCCUAGAACUAAGGCAAAAAUAACACAACAUCUCAAACAUCAAGAUGGCUUGGUGUUAACAAGUUAACAGUGUACUCAAGAGGAGCUUAAGCGUCUGAUUUCACAGGGAAAUAGUUACUUGACUGACAUAUUACAUACAAUAUUGUUGAUAUAAGAUUUAAUUAAUCAUGAAGCUUCAAUAGAGUCUAAGAGUAACAACAAUAUACAGAUUACUAGAUAUGCAAAACAAGCAGGUUAUCACAUUUACCAACUGAGAUUGUUAGAGUAGAUAAGUUGAAUACAAGACAUGAAAUAUAGGGAAUCCACUUAUAAGACCAACAUUAUGUCACAAGUAGGCGGGUCAAAUCAUCUAGAGGUACAAAAACACAAAGAGAAGUUUAAGAGCAUGAUUUAAGUUAGCUUAGCUGUCCUAGUUUUAUUGUUCAACUAACAGAGGUAGAUUGUGCACAAAAUCAACAUAAAGCUUAACUUAGCUUUAUCAUAUAUGCAUAGCAAAGUUAAUCACAAGAAUAUCACUUAGUCUAGGGUCUUUUUACUAAUUGAAUCAUGAAGGAUAGAAGUCAAUAGCACAUAUUUAAUGACAGGUUUUAAUACAACAUAACUUAAUAAAAACACUCAUAAUUUAACAGUAAAAUAGCAUUUUAAAGAAGGGUAUAACAAAUACGACCUUACACUACUAACAUCUAACAUGAACAACAAAGAAUUUAUUAAGUAAUCAUCAAGAAGACAUAAUUAUCAAAUGGAUUCAAAGUAAGGAGGGGGUCAGUAGGUACUGACCUUCUAUAGGGCAGAAAACCAAGUAAGGACGUGUUCAACAUCCAUUUCAGAGAUCCAAACUCAAGAUCAAUAUAGCAGUUGACUCAAACCGGAGAAGAGAAAGAAAACACAAAAAUUGGAGAGCACUUAGUGAGAAAACCUUAAAGUUUAACUCAUUUUUUUCUUUUAUGUUUCGGAUAGUAUUUGAUGCGUGGUAGGUGUGAAAAUAGAAUGUCCCUUUUAUAGUGGCACUCAAGACACUUAGGGUUCCGAUUGAUUCAAAUGGGUAGUGGAGAGUGACGACAGUCGAAUGAUGAUAACAAUAAAGGUGAAAUCUGUGAAGAACAGAGGGGAAAAAGCAACACAGAUUUACCUGGGCACGAGGAGAUGACCGUUGAAUGCGAAGACCUAUCAGACAAAGCCCCAAUAUCCAAAGGUUACUAUGUUUGACCUAUGGAUACGAAUAAUGAUGAUGGAAUCAGUGACAAUAGCCAUGCAUGCCUUGGAUUUGAAAGAACGAAGGGAGAACAGAUAAUUCUCAGUAGCAUGAUUUAGGUCUAGAGUUUAAUUGAGGCUUUUGAAUUUUAGUGAUGAAAACAGAAGUAUACCGGCUGGAUUCGCGGAUUAUAGUGACAAAUUGGGUGAUUUGAGGUUUGAAUCCGUGACCUUGCACAAAUUUGUGCAAGGUUUGUGAUUGGGGGUCAGAUGGGAUGAGAGAAAGGAGAGGGAAUUGGGAAAGAAGG
rnacentral:lncRNA from 1 species